CUGCAUCUCUUGACAAACCCGGAGCAGAGUGAAAAGUGGCUUCUUUGGGGUUUAGAUAAUGAUGCUAGAUCAAUUUCCCUGCGCUUUCUGUGUGCUUUCAUGUAGCAGUUCAGAUUGAAUAAGGGAAGACAUCC